rnacentral:rRNA from 1 species
CAGCAGCCGCGGUAAUGCGUAGGUGGCAAGCGUUGUCCGGAAUUAUUGGGCGUAAGGGGCUCGCAGGCGGUUUCUUAAGUCUGAUGUGAAAGCCCCAGGCUCAACCGGGGAGGGUCAUUGGAAACUGGGAAACUUGAGUGCAGAAGAGGAGAGUGGAAUUCCACGUGUAGCGGUGAAAUGCGUAGAGAUGUGGAGGAACACCAGUGGCGAAGGCGACUCUCUGGUCUGUAACUGACGCUGAGGAGCGAAAGCGUGGGGAGCGAACAGGAUUAGAUACCCGAGUAGUCCCUGUCUCUUAUAC